GGUUGGGUGAAUUCUAUAUUCGCUUUCAAGAUGAUUGGACUUCCGGGGUGGGAAGCU
rnacentral:ncRNA from 17 species